rnacentral:rRNA from 1 species
AACGAACGCUGGCGGCGUGGAUUAGGCAUGCAAGUCGAACGAGAUCCUUUAGGUUCAAGUUUUCGGACGAGAACCUUUUGGUGAGAGUGGCGAACGGGUGAGUAACGCGUGGGUAAUUUGCCCUUAAGUUGGGGAUAGCCAGUCGAAAGGCUGGAUAAUACCGAAUGUGGUCGUCUUCCGCAUGGAAGAUUGUCUAAAGGUGGGGAUCCGCAAGGACCUGCCGCUUUAGGAUGAGCCCGCGUCCAAUCAGCUUGUUGGUAGGGUAACGGCCUACCAAGGCUUACUGGUAGCUGGUCUGAGAGGAUGGUCAGCCACACUGGGACUGAGACACUGCCCAGACUCCUACGGGAGGCUGCAGUCGAGAAUCAUUCGCAAUGCGCGAAAGCGUGACGAUGCGACGCCGCGUGGAGGAUGAAGGCCUUCGGGUCGUAAACUCCUGUCAUGAGGGAACAAUGUCAUGUGUGGUUAAUACCUCCAGGGAGUGAUGGUACCUCAAGAGGAAGCCACGGCUAACUCUGUGCCAGCAGCCGCGGUAAUACAGAGGUGGCGAGCGUUGUUCGGAUUUACUGGGCGUAAAGGGUGCGUAGGCGGCCAUGUGUGUCGGAUGUGAAAUCUCACCGCUCAACGGUGAAACGGCAUCCGAAACUGCAAGGCUAGAGUACAGGAGAGGAGAGCGGAAUUCUCGGUGUAGCGGUGAAAUGCGUUGAUAUCGAGAAGAACACCGGUGGCGAAGGCGGCUCUCUGGACUGAUACUGACGCUGAGGCACGAAAGCUGGGGGAGCAAACAGGAUUAGAUACCCUGGUAGUCCCAGCCGUAAACGUUGUGUACUUGGUGUAGGAGGAAUUAUCCCCUUCUGUGCCGGAGCUAACGCGUUAAGUACACCGCCUGGGGAGUACGGCCGCAAGGCUAAAACUCAAAGGAAUUGACGGGGGCCCGCACAAGCGGUGGAGCAUGUGGCUUAAUUCGAUGCAACGCGAAGAACCUUACCAGGGCUUGACAUGUAGCUGCUUUCCUCCCGAAAGGGAGGAGUCCUUCGAGGGUGCUACACAGGUGCUGCAUGGCUGUCGUCAGCUCGUGCCGUGAGGUGUUGGGUUAAGUCCCGCAACGAGCGCAACCCUUGUGAUUAGUUGCUAAGUUCUCAGAAAUGGGAGCAGCACUCUAAUCAGACUGCCGGUGACAAGCCGGAGGAAGGUGGGGAUGACGUCAAGUCAGUAUGGUCCUUAUGCCUGGGGCUGCACACGUGCUACAAUGGACGGUACAAAGGGAAGCAAGACCGCGAGGUGGAGCAAAUCCCCAAAACCGUCCCCAGUUCGGAUUGGAGUCUGCAACUCGACUCCAUGAAGUUGGAAUCGCUAGUAAAGGCGUAUCAGCUACGACGCCUUGAAUACGUUCCCGGGCCUUGUACACACCGCCCGUCACGUCAUGGAAGUUGACUGCACCCGAAGGUCGCCGGGCCAACCCCUUGUGGGAGGCAGGCGCCGAAGGUGUGGUUGAUAAUUGGGAUG